rnacentral:rRNA from 1 species
CAGUAGCCGCGGUAAUACGUAGGUGGCAAGCGUUGUCCGGAAUUAUUGGGCGUAAAGCGCGCGCAGAUGGUUUAAUAAGUCUGAUGUGAAAGCCCACGGCUCAACCGUGGAGGGUCAUUGGAAACUGUUAAACUUGAGUGCAGGAGAGAAUAGUGGAAUUCCUAGUGUAGCGGUGAAAUGCGUAGAUAUAUGGAGGAACACCGGUGGCGAAAGCGGCUCUCUGGCUUGUAACUGACGCUGAGGCUCGAAAGCGUGGGGAGCAAACAGGAUUAGAUACCCGCGUAGUCCCUGUCUCUUAUAC